UGAACAGUUCAGAAGAAUUCG
rnacentral:piRNA from 1 species